CAGUCGCCGCGGGAAUACGUAGGUGGCGAGCGUUGUCCGGAAUUAUUGGGCGUAAAGGGAGCGCAGGCGGACAUAUAAGUCCAUCUUAAAAGUGCGGGGCUCAACCCCGUGAGGGGAUGGAAACUGUAUGCCUUGAGUGCAGGAGAGGAAAGCGGAAUUCCCAGUGUAGCGGUGAAAUGCGUAGAUAUUAGGAAGAACACCAGUGGCGAAGGCGACUUUCUGGACGAAAACUGACGCUGAGGCGCGAAAGCCAGGGGAGCGAACGGGAUUAGAUACCCCUGUAGUCCCUGUCUCUUAUACA
rnacentral:rRNA from 1 species